rnacentral:rRNA from 1 species
AGUGGCGGACGGGUGAGUAACGGGAAGAAUCUAUCCUUGGGUGGGGGACAACUGUGGGAAACUACAGCAAAUACCGCAUGAUGACCGAGGUCCAAAGCUCGCGAGAGCGCCUGGGGCGGAGCCUGCGUACGAUUAGCUAGUUGGUGGGGUAAAGGCCUACCAAGGCGACGAUCGUUAGCUGGUCUGAGAGGAUGAUCAGCCACAUUGGGACUGAGACACGGCCCAAACUCCUACGGGAGGCAGCAGUGGGGAAUAUUGGACAAUGGGCGCAAGCCUGAUCCAGCAAUGCCGCGUGUGUGAAGAAGGUCUUCGGAUUGUAAAGCACUUUCGACGGGGACGAUGAUGACGGUACCCGUAGAAGAAGCCCCGGCUAACUUCGUGCCAGCAGCCGCGGUAAUACGAAGGGGGCUAGCGUUGCUCGGAAUGACUGGGCGUAAAGGGCGCGUAGGCGGAUGGCACAGUCAGAUGUGAAAUUCCUGGGCUUAACCUGGGGGCUGCAUUUGA